rnacentral:rRNA from 1 species
CCCUUAGAUGUUCGGGGCCGCACGCGCGCUACACUGAAUGAAUCAGCGAGUGUAUGUCCUAGGCCGAAAGGUCCGGGUAACCCGUUGAACCUCAUUCGUGAUUGGGAUAGGGACUUGCAAUUGUUUCCCUUGAACGAGGAAUUCCCAGUAAGCGCAAGUCAUCAGCUUGCGUUGAUUACGUCCCUGCCCUUUGUACACACCGCCCGUCGCUCCUACCGAUUGGGUGUGCUGGUGAAAUGUUCGGAUCGGCCGUUUGUCGCGGUUUCCGCGGCUCGUGGCUGAGAAGUUCAUUAAACCCUCCCACCUAGAGGAAGGAGAAGUCGUAACA